CCUACGGGAGGCAGCAGUGGGGAAUCUUGCACAAUGGAGGAAACUCUGAUGCAGCGACGCCGCGUGAGCGAAGAAGCCUUUCGGGGUGUAAAGCUCUUACGCCAGGGACGAUAAUGACGGUACCUGGAGAAGCAGCUGCGGCUAACUACGUGCCAGCAGCCGCGGUAAU
rnacentral:rRNA from 1 species